CGUUUCAUCCUCUCAUAUUCGUCUCCCUGCGCAGGGAAUGACAUGAACACAGCGGGAGAUUCAAACGCUCUGCUUUUAGUUUAAAAAUAAAAGAGAGAGGCACAUACAGUCCCCCUAAUAUUCUCUGGGCCAUUUGCAUCAUUUUGGUGCCCUGCUUGAAAGAGAAACUUAUCUGCCCACUCUCCUCCAAACUCUGCAUGAAGACUACUGACCAAAUAUGAACAGAAAAAACACACAGAUAAUGAAAUACUAAUGGGAGCAGAAACUUGAACCUAGAUCUCAUACGUGCCAAGCUCAAGGCCGACCUCAGGUAUGUUUCAUCUAAAUCCACUUUGAUGCAGCCCAGCAGCUCAUAGAUGCAGUCGAUCCUUGCUUCUACAUCG